rnacentral:rRNA from 1 species
UCCACGCCGUAAACGAUGGUCACUCGUUGCUGGUGAUAUACAAUCAGUGACUGAGCGAAAGCAUUAAGUGACCCACCUGGGGAGUACGUUCGCAAGAAUGAAACUCAAAGGAAUUGACGGGGGCCCGCACAAGCGGAGGAACAUGUGGUUUAAUUCGAUGAUACGCGAGGAACCUUACCUGGGCUUAAAUGGGAGGCGUCUUCGGGCGUAGUUCUUCGAAAGAAGACUUAAAC